GUUUAGAUGGCUCAGUGGGCAGAGUAUCUGCCUAGCAAGCAGGAGACUUGGGUUCGAAUUCCAGUCUGAUACA